UGAGCCUGCUGAGCAGUCGCCAUGAGCAAAGCCCACCCUCCCGAACUGAAGAAGUUUAUGGACAAGAAGUUAUCAUUAAAAUUAUACGGUGGCAGGCAUGUACAAGGAAUACUGCGGGGCUUUGAUCCCUUCAUGAACCUUGUGAUUGAUGAGUGUGUGGAGAUGGCAACCAGUGGGCAGCAGAACAACAUCGGCAUGGUGGUCAUCCGAGGAAACAGCAUUAUCAUGUUAGAAGCCUUGGAAAGAGUCUGACCAGUGUUCAGCAGUGUGUCCACAUCCCUC